rnacentral:lncRNA from 1 species
AUGCAACAAAUGCCAUCCACAGUAAAUGGACAUACUCAUGUUGUGGCCAGGCAUGCAAACGGUCUGUUGGAUUGGUAUCAUCACUCACCGCGCAGCUUGGGAGAGCGGCUGCAGCCACGACGAGGGCCCUGCCAGACUGCGCUGCACCAGCACAUCACAAAUACAACGCCUGCCCUGAGCUCCUCACAGUCCAGCUGUAGGCAAAGGAGAGAAGGAAGGAAGUAGCUCCGCACUGUUUUUCUCCAGGACAGACCUCAGAAACAGUGAAAUGAUCACACAGAAAGGAUGUGACAGAGUACGAAUGUGAAUGCAUAUCUUCCCAGGUGAAAUCCAGGCCUUGCGGCACUAGAGUUAUUCCCUCCUUCUCUUUGCCAUGAGCAAAUAAAGAACAUUUUUGAGCAAUGCUGGCA